CGCGAAUACUUUAUUUCGCGUUUUACCCUUUCUUGACCAAUUCGCGGCUAUUUAAUUUCGCGAUUUUCUGAUUUACUUGAUGAAGUUUAAUAAGGAAAGAUCCAAGUUUUACAUAUUCGCGACGAUUUAUUUUCGCGUUAUUUUUCUACUCGCGAAAAUCGCGAAAAUAAAUCGCUCGCGAAAUUAAGUUGGUUUACAGUA
rnacentral:lncRNA from 1 species